rnacentral:tRNA from 1 species
GCGGCUGUGGCGGAAUGGUAGACGCGCAGCGUUGAGGGCGCUGUGGGGCGCAGCCCUGUGGAGGUUCAAGUCCUCUCAGCCGCACCA